CUCAGCUUGCUGGGUGGAUCAGUGGCGAACGGGUGAGUAACACGUGAGCAACCUGCCCUCCACUUCGGGAUAAGCCUUGGAAACGAGGUCUAAUACCGGAUACGAGCACUUACCGCAUGGUGGGUGUUGGAAAGUUUUUCGGUGGGGGAUGGGCUCGCGGCCUAUCAGCUUGUUGGUGGGGUAAUGGCCUACCAAGGCGUCGACGGGUAGCCGGCCUGAGAGGGCGACCGGCCACACUGGGACUGAGACACGGCCCAGACUCCUACGGGAGGCAGCAGUGGGGAAUAUUGCACAAUGGGCGAAAGCCUGAUGCAGCGACGCCACGUGAGGGAUGACGGCCUUCGGGUUGUAAACCUCUUUCAGCAGGGAAGAAGCGCAAGUGACGGUACCUGCAGAAGAAGCGCCGGCUAACUACGUGCCAGCAGCCGCGGUAAUACGUAGGGCGCAAGCGUUGUCCGGAAUUAUUGGGCGUAAAGAGCUCGUAGGCGGUCUGUCGCGUCUGGUGUGAAAUCCCAUGGCUCAACCAUGGGCUUGCAUCGGGUACGGGCAGACUAGAGUGCUGUAGGGGAGACUGGAAUUCCUGGUGUAGCGGUGGAAUGCGCAGAUAUCAGGAGGAACACCGAUGGCGAAGGCAGGUCUCUGGGCAGUUACUGACGCUGAG
rnacentral:rRNA from 1 species